CUUCUAUCUCUCUGUCUCUCUCUCGGGAUUUCACAUUCUGAUGGGGAUUUCCAAUAGGUUCCACCGGCGACGUCUUCUUUCCGUCGUCUUCUCGUUAACGCCGUGGUUGAAGACAUAUACAGGCCGUGGAGGCAGCCAUUACCCUCUAUAGAUGACAUAUACUUCAUCCAGCCAUCCAAAGAGAACCUUGGCUCGUAUGAUGAGACUGAUAGAAUAGUUGGGAAGACGAAGUAGAUUUCUUCUGUUCUUAUCCAUCUUAGUAUCUAUUCUCCAAAUGGUGUGUUACUAAUUUAGUUUUGUUGUCAACUUUUUUGCCUUCUUGUUAUUUGGGUUAAUUUGUUAUGAUGUCUAUGGAGUGCUACUAUCAAACUCUUGUAUUUUGUAUGUGCUUUGUGGAAAGGUAUGUUAUUAUGUUGU